GUAGACGGUCCAGUCGCAAAUUUUGUGUUUGUCGCCCUGACACGCCCACUAAAUCUUGACAGCUGACUAAAGAAUCGUAUUCAAAAUUCCACGCAAACACGAUCAUUUAUUUAUCAUGUCCUUUCAACACGUUUUUGUUGCUAUUUUUGUUGUCCUUGUACUGAAAUUGCUUUACUUCAAUAACGAACAAGUUUUGACAGCGGUGUUCGGACGAGCUCUUAUGAAAAUUAAUUUCAACGAAGAACUCCUAUUUCAAGUUUUCACAAAAGUCUCCAAAAAAUUUAUAAAAAUAUGCUCAUCCCUAGUAAUAUUAACCGGUUCAAUGAUAGAGAAUUUGUCCGAAUAAACGUUCCACAAGUUCGAUUUUGUUCAUCACAUUUGGGAAUAUCAAACGGAUUUCGACAAAGAACCGAUUCUCGACCCAUUCUAAAAUUUGCAGGGGUUAAAGUAGAGGGAAUCAACUAAUUAUUGAGGUUUCAAAAAAAUGGUAAACAUGGAAACUUUUGAAAAAAGUUAAAUUCAUUUAUUCAAUACGUGGUUUUUGGAAAUUUUCACUUUUCGGAUUGACAAGUUGUCUGAGCAUGGUUUCUGAGACCCCUCAGGAGAUCGGAGAAGUGUUUUAUCAAGUUCAAAAAAUAUUUUGGUGGAAGUGUUCCAUAUAACGUGGAAUGCCCCGAAUGCAAUAUUCGCUAACUUUUCGAUCCGAAUCGUUAUGUCGCCCAGAAACACGUACGCUGCGAAGAUUGGAUUGCUCAAAUGUAUCCAUGAAUACAUAUCUGUAUGUAUAAUAAUAUAUAUUUGAUACGAAUUACGCAGUUCCAGAACCAUUAAAAUUCAAACGACGAUCACACCGGUAUUUGUUAUUUGACAGAUUUCGGUCAUUUUCACGCGUUCAUAUUGACAGCUGCACACGUAUAAGUUGACAAUCGAAAAUCGAAGACUCGUGGGAGACUAAAUCUCCCCAAAUGUCCUCUGACCGCUAGAAUAUCUGCUGCUGCUGCUGCAGCUGCAGGGCAUAUUCAUGCAUAUAUACACAUCUAUACAAAUAUAUGACACAUAAUACAGUUAUAUACAUAUAUAGAUGUAUGUAUACAUAUAGACACGCAUGUUGUAUCAGCGAUAUGUUAUUAGUUACGCAAUGUAAUAGAGUGAAGUAUGGUCUACCUUGGAUGUAGCCACGUUAUGGGAUAAUUAUUAUUAAUGAUCGGAACCAUGAAUGUGCCCAAUGUAUAUAAUGACGUCUACCGUGGUGACCGUAUAACGCUACAUUACAUAUGCUCGAAUAAGAUGAAUAUAAUAACUUCAUAAUACUUUCGGGUAUCGAAUGCCAUUCAAUUAUGCGAAGUGCAUCUGGAUAAAGUGUAUUGGAUUUCAAUUCACAGGUUUUGUAUUACGAAUGAAGCGGUUGAAUAUAGUUUUAAAAAGUAAGGCGAAAUGAAACUAGAUAAAGUUCAAUCCUGAGGGUACUUAAUCGCAUUCUAUAACUGUUAUGAUGAUCUAACAUUUCAGGGUGCAUGUGUUAUUGAGUUUCAAAGUGCUAUCGAGUGAAUUCACGGCUUAUCGUUCAUUAGUGGAUAGGCAACUCUGCAGAGCAAGCGCCGCGGUGUUUCAGAGGUAGUGGUUACGUGCAUUUACUCCAGCACAUUGGUAUUGACUAACUUAUACGGUUGGAUCAGCAUAAUAACUCUAGGUUAUUGCAGAGUACACCGCACCGUAUGAUUCUGCUCGUGAUCCCUUUACCACCAUACGUGCAAAUGCAUCUAGGGUAUCCACUCCAUGCACGGUAUAUAUUUAACGGUGUAUCGCGUGGCCGACGCUUUUAACCGUCCAUUCUAUCGACGACCCACAAACCUGUCGUCGAAGGGGUUAACACGACGAUCCUACCCAAGGGAUCACUGAUGACGAAUACGCUAGAAUCUAAAAUCUAACCCUGUGCUACUGGAUCAUGCGCGCUAUUCCACUCUAUUCCUGUACACAUUGUGGUAAUGUCAUUACCAACGAGGAUCUGCAUUAUUCUACAGUACGCAUCGUGCGUAGGACAACACUGCAUUUCGAAUCCUUGCAGAAUAAAUAUACGACAAUCCUAGACCCCUUGGAUAUUGGAUGUUGGAUUUAUUGCUUUGGUUUUCCGUCUUGGAUGGUACGGCAGUUCGGCUUCAGCGACAGCGGCGGCGACAUCGGGAGCGACAUCAGUUCUACUAGUCCCUAUUCUGUGUCAGUAGCAAUGCAGGUUCCUCAGAGUAACGACGAAGAGAGAGAACGAUGACCAUUGCGCGAUGGAACCAAAUCAGGGCAUCACCGAGUCUUCUCGAUGAGAUACAUCGCUUCGUCUUCACCCAGUCGAGAUGGAUCUGCAACACAUGAGACUUACAACUCCUUUUCUGCAGAGGUUGCAGUUCCUCCAACAUCAUUGCCCGGACUUCCCCUGUUCAUCAGGGGGAGUCCACUGACCCGUCCCC